AAAAAGACAAACCCUGGUUUCCGUGUCCAACAUUUGACCGUCCGUCUUAUUUAAAAAAAAUAUGAAAAAGUUUAAAAAGACAAGUCACGUAUAAAGUAUUAAUCAUAUUUUAUCAUCUAACAACAAUGAUAAUACUAACUAUAAAAAAAAUUUCAUAUAAGACGGAUAGUCAAACGUUGACACGGAACCCACGGUUUACCUUUUU
rnacentral:pre_miRNA from 1 species